UUAGCCAGGAUGCUGUCAAUCUCCUGACCUCGUGAUCUCCCCGCUUCAGCCUCCCAAAGUGCUGGGAUUACAGGCCUGAGCCACCACGCCCGGCUGCAUCUGUUGACUUUUGUAGUCAUAACCAACAACCUCGAUAUUUCAGUGGCUUAUGAUAACAAACAUCAUUUCUCAUGCAUGUUGCAUGAGGGCUGUAGUUUGGCUGUGGUUCUGCUGGACUCUGCUGGGCUUGGCUGGGCCCUACAUGCCUUCUCAUUUGAGAGCGCAGGCUCACAGUGGUCUCACGUUGGGACAUGCUCUUCUCAUGAUAGAAGUCAGAAGCACCAGGGACAGAGCCACACCAUGCAAGAGCACAUUAAAGCUUCUUGCUCCCGUGAGAUAGAUGUCACGCCCGCUAACAUUCCAUGGACUAAUGCAAAUCAAAUGGCCAAGCCACAAUAAGUGGAGUGGGCCCUGAGAGAGAGAAUCAGUAUUGUGAGCAAAUGUACACUCUAUCACUGGGACGGAGUGGUUACUGGAACUUGGAGGCAGAGAGCAUUGUGAAAAGGCAGCCUGACAGAAGCUGAGACCUUGCCAAGGCUGCAGCCAACCGUGGAGCAUGCAGAAAGGAUCUGGGGGAACCAACAGCCCAAGCCCAUCUCUUCCCUUUCGCCAGUCUCUGGUCAUUCCUCGUUGUGGCUGUACCCAUCUGAAAGUCAAAGGCAAGAGACUUUGUUCUGUGGCUCUUAAAGGCCAGCUUCCUGGGACAGAGAACAGGGUGGGUGGCAAAGGGCAGAGGGUGAAUCUGGAGAGGCGCAUGAGAUGAUUUGAUCAUAAUCGAAUUCAUAAGAAAGACAUUAAAGUUGCAGAAAAUGUGCUACAAAACAUUUCUUAAAAACCAGCAGCUCCUCAUUUCUAAAUGACUUAGGAGGAAUUCCAGGCUGACUGUUCGUAAAGUGAAAAUGGGGGAAAAAUUAAGAUGGCAAUAAAUCUUCCAUGAGUUUGUGCUAUAAAUCUAGGGGAAAAUUCUUUUGGGUGACAUAAGGCAUAACCUUUAACAGCUAAUAUUCUUGAAACUGUUUGCAUCUGACCGUUCUGAGUCCCUAAGUGGUUUCCAUUCCAACAUUGUCAUUUAUCUUGUGAUAUUUACUUUAUUGUGGUAAGUCGCAAUGUUUUUUUUUUUUCUUCUCAGAGAGUCUGUGAUAAAAUAAACUCACCAGAGUAAGAUGAAUGCCAACUUAUUAAAAAGCCUCUCUUAGAAGGGAAUGGAGCUAUGCUGGCCCAGUAAGAGGGUUUAGUUGCAGCCAACAGAAACAACUCUAGCAAUUUUUAAUCAGGAAGAGAAUUAAGCACUCAUAAAAUCCUGGGAAGGCUGGAGGAGUGGGCUGGGUGUUCCAGAGUGACUUCCAGAACAGCGCCACAGCGUCAGCCCACUUGGGGAGCUUUCGCCACUGCCACAAUCCUGAAGCGGGAAAAUCAGGAAGCAGACAUGGCAAAUGGUACAUCCAGGAAUACAACGGCCCCGCUGUGAUCCAUGGCUGGGGAGAAGGCCAUGGCAGCCAUUGCCUCCAGAAGAGUGCUGCAGCUGCCAGGUCCACUUUCGCAGAACACAGACCUCCUACUCUACCAUGAAAUCAGCAACUGGACACUGGGACCUCUGCCACUGUUACUGCAGGAAAACCCAGGGCCCCUGUGAACCAGCCGGUCAACAGCAGCAUUGGAUGGACCCAAGUAGAGACUUUUACCUUCAUCACACUUUCUGAAUCUCAUGCAAUUGUUUAUGUUUGGCCAACCUAAAUCCUAUUUGAAUUUUAACUGCAAGAGAUGAUGGGAAAUGCCACUUUAAGUUUUUCAGUCUUUCAGUUUGGGAAGGUGCACUAGGGUAAUGGGAAUGCUAGGAUAGUGGGGUUUUGGCCUGCAACCAAUAAACAUACAUUUAAAUAAAA